GAUGAAGAACGUAGCGAAAUGCGAUACGUAAUGUGAAUUGCAGAAUUCAGUGAAUCAUCGAGUCUUUGAACGCACAUUGCGCCCUCUGGUAUUCCGGAGGGCAUGCCUGUCCGAGCGUCAUUGCUGCCCUCAAGCACGGCUUGUGUGUUGGGCUCCGUCCCCCGAUCCCGGGGGACGGGCCCGAAAGGCAGCGGCGGCACCGCGUCCGGUUCUCGAGCGUAUGGGGCUUUGUCACCCGCUCUGUAGGCCCGGCCGGCGCUUGCCGAUCAACCAAAUUUUUAUCCAGGUUGACCUCGGAUCAGGUAGGGAUACCCGCUGAACUUAAGCAUAUCAAUAAGCGGAGGA
rnacentral:misc_RNA from 1 species